GUUUGAUCCUGGCUCAGGAUGAACGCUAGCGGCAGGCCUAAUACAUGCAAGUCGAACGGUAAGUCCCUGCUUGCAGGGAACACGAGUGGCGCACGGGUGCGUAACGCGUAUGCAACCUACCUUUAACUGGAGAAUAGCCCCGAGAAAUCGGGAUUAAUACUUCAUAACAAUAUGAAAUGGCAUCAUUUUUUAUUUAAAGCUCCGGCGGUUAAAGAUGGGCAUGCGUGACAUUAGAUAGUUGGUGAGGUAACGGCUCACCAAGUCAGCGAUGUCUAGGGGUUCUGAGAGGAUUUUCCCCCACACUGGUACUGAGACACGGACCAGACUCCUACGGGAGGCAGCAGUAAGGAAUAUUGGGCAAUGGACGAAAGUCUGACCCAGCCAUGCCGCGUGCAGGAUGACAGCCCUAUGGGUUGUAAACUGCUUUUAUAUGAGAAGAAACCUCCCGACGUGUCGGGGGCUGACGGUAUCAUAAGAAUAAGGACCGGCUAACUCCGUGCCAGCAGCCGCGGUAAUACGGAGGGUCCAAGCGUUAUCCGGAUUUAUUGGGUUUAAAGGGUGCGCAGGCGGAAUAAUAAGUCAGUGGUGAAAUCUCUCGGCUCAACCGAGAAACUGCCAUUGAUACUGUUAUUCUUGAGUAUAGUUGUAGUGGGCGGAAUAUAGCAUGUAGCGGUGAAAUGCUUAGAUAUGCUAUAGAACACCGAUCGCGAAGGCAGCUCACUAAACUAUAACUGACGCUCAGGCACGAAAGCGUGGGGAGCAAACAGGAUUAGAUACCCUGGUAGUCCACGCCGUAAACGAUGAUUACUCGAUGUUGGCAAUACACAGUCAGCGUCCAAGCGAAAGCGUUAAGUAAUCCACCUGGGGAGUACGAUCGCAAGAUUGAAACUCAAAGGAAUUGACGGGGGCCCGCACAAGCGGAGGAGCAUGUGGUUUAAUUCGAUGAUACGCGAGGAACCUUACCUGGGCUUAAAUGUAGAAUGACAACUCCGGAAACGGAGCUUUUCUUCGGAACAAUCUACAAGGUGCUGCAUGGUUGUCGUCAGCUCGUGCCGUGAGGUGUCGGGUUAAGUCCC
rnacentral:rRNA from 1 species